rnacentral:sRNA from 1 species
AUAAAAGGAGGUUCGACUAAAACCGUCAUAUCGUGUGACAACGUCGAAUGACUGG